rnacentral:rRNA from 1 species
CACGCUGUAAACGAUGGGUACUAGAUGUUGCAGGAAUUGACCCCUGCAGUGUCGACGCAAACGCAUUAAGUACCCCGCCUGGGAAGUACGGUCGCAAGAUUAAAACUCAAAGGAAUUGACGGGGGCCCGCACAAGCGGUGGAGCAUGUGGUUUAAUUCGAUGCAACGCGAAAAACCUUACCUAGAUUUGACAUCCACUGACAUCCGUAGAAGUACGGCUUUCCCUUCGGGGACAGUGAGACAGGUGC